AUUGAACGCUGGCGGCAGGCCUAACACAUGCAAGUCGAACGGUAACAGGAAGAAGCUUGCUUCUUUGCUGACGAGUGGCGGACGGGUGAGUAAUGUCUGGGAAACUGCCUGAUGGAGGGGGAUAACUACUGGAAACGGUAGCUAAUACCGCAUAACGUCGCAAAACCAAAGAGGGGGACCUUCGGGCCCCUUGCCAUCGGAUGUGCCCAGAUGGGAUUAGCUAGUAGGUGGGGUAACGGCUCACCUAGGCGACGAUCCCUAGCUGGUCUGAGAGGAUGACCAGCCACCCUGGAACUGAGACACGGUCCAGACUCCUACGGGAGGCAGCAGUGGGGAAUAUUGCACAAUGGGCGGAAGCCUGAUGCAGCCAUGCCGCGUGUAUGAAGAAGGCCUUCGGGUUGUAAAGUACUUUCAGCGGGGAGGAAGGGAGUAAAGUUAAUACCUUUGCUCAUUGACGUUACCCGCAGAAGAAGCACCGGCUAACUCCGUG
rnacentral:rRNA from 1 species